ACCGAAUUCAGACAAACUCCGAAUGCCAAUUAAUUUAACUUGGGAGUCAGAACAUGGGUGAUAAGGUCCGUGUUCGAAAGGGAAACAGCCCAGACCACCAGCUAAGGUCCCAAAAUAUAUGUUAAGUGGAAAAGGAUGUGGCGUUGCCCAGACAACUAGGAUGUUGGCUUAGAAGCAGCCAUCAUUUAAAGAGUGCGUAAUAGCUCACUAGUCGAGUGACACUGCGCCGAAAAUGUACCGGGGCUAAACAUAUUACCGAAGCUGUGGAUUGUCCUUUGGACAAUGGUAGGAGAGCGUUCUAAGGGCGUUGAAGCAUGAUCGUAAGGACAUGUGGAGCGCUUAGAAGUGAGAAUGCCGGUGUGAGUAGCGAAAGACGGGUGAGAAUCCCGUCCACCGAUUGACUAAGGUUUCCAGAGGAAGGCUCGUCCGCUCUGGGUUAGUCGGGUCCUAAGCUGAGGCCGACAGGCGUAGGCGAUGGAUAACAGGUUGAUAUUCCUGUACCACCUAUAAUCGUUUUAAUCGAUGGGGGGACGCAGUAGGAUAGGCGAAGCGUGCGAUUGGAUUGCACGUCUAAGCAGUAAGGCUGAGUAUUAGGCAAAUCCGGUACUCGUUAAGGCUGAGCUGUGAUGGGGAGAAGACAUUGUGUCUUCGAGUCGUUGAUUUCACACUGCCGAGAAAAGCCUCUAGAUAGAAAAUAGGUGCCCGUACCGCAAACCGACACAGGUAGUCAAGAUGAGAAUUCUAAGGUGAGCGAGCGAACUCUCGUUAAGGAACUCGGCAAAAUGACCCCGUAACUUCGGGAGAAGGGGUGCUCUUUAGGGUUAACGCCCAGAAGAGCCGCAGUGAAUAGGCCCAAGCGACUGUUUAUCAAAAACACAGGUCUCUGCUAAACCGUAAGGUGAUGUAUAGGGGCUGACGCCUGCCCGGUGCUGGAAGGUUAAGAGGAGUGGUUAGCUUCUGCGAAGCUACGAAUCGAAGCCCCAGUAAACGGCGGCCGUAACUAUAACGGUCCUAAGGUAGCGAAAUUCCUUGUCGGGUAAGUUCCGACCCGCACGAAAGGCGUAACGAUUUGGGCACUGUCUCAACGAGAGACUCGGUGAAAUCAUAGUACCUGUGAAGAUGCAGGUUACCCGCGACAGGACGGAAAGACCCCGUGGAGCUUUACUGUAGCCUGAUAUUGAAAUUCGGCACAGCUUGUACAGGAUAGGUAGGAGCCUUUGAAACGUGAGCGCUAGCUUACGUGGAGGCGCUGGUGGGAUACUACCCUAGCUGUGUUGGCUUUCUAACCCGCACCACUUAUCGUGGUGGGAGACAGUGUCAGGCGGGCAGUUUGACUGGGGCGGUCGCCUCCUAAAAGGUAACGGAGGCGCUCAAAGGUUCCCUCAGAAUGGUUGGAAAUCAUUCAUAGAGUGUAAAGGCAUAAGGGAGCUUGACUGCGAGACCUACAAGUCGAGCAGGGUCGAAAGACGGACUUAGUGAUCCGGUGGUUCCGCAUGGAAGGGCCAUCGCUCAACGGAUAAAAGCUACCCCGGGGAUAACAGGCUUAUCUCCCCCAAGAGUUCACAUCGACGGGGAGGUUUGGCACCUCGAUGUCGGCUCAUCGCAUCCUGGGGCUGUAGUCGGUCCCAAGGGUUGGGCUGUUCGCCCAUUAAAGCGGUACGCGAGCUGGGUUCAGAACGUCGUGAGACAGUUCGGUCCCUAUCCGUCGUGGGCGUAGGAAAUUUGAGAGGAGCUGUCCUUAGUACGAGAGGACCGGGAUGGACAUACCUCUGGUGUACCAGUUGUCGUGCCAACGGCAUAGCUGGGUAGCUAUGUGUGGACGGGAUAAGUGCUGAAAGCAUCUAAGCAUGAAGCCCCCCUCAAGAUGAGAUUUCCCAACUUCGGUUAUAAGAUCCCUCAAAGAUGA
rnacentral:rRNA from 1 species